rnacentral:tRNA from 1 species
GAGCGUUUGGCUCAAGCGGUAGAGCGCAAGCUUAGCAUGCAUGCGGUCCUGGGUUCAAUCCCCGGUACCUCCU